rnacentral:SRP_RNA from 1 species
GGUCGGGUCUUGUGCAAUCCGCUCCCGUGAACCCUGUCAGGUCCGGAAGGAAGCAGCAGUAAGCGGACCUGCGGUUGUGCCGCAAGGGUGCCUGCCCGGC